GACGAACGCUGGCGGCGUGCUUAACACAUGCAAGUCGAACGAUGAAGCGGUGCUUGCACCGUGGAUUAGUGGCGAACGGGUGAGUAAUACGUGAGUGACCUACCUUUGACUCUGGGAUAAGCCUGGGAAACUGGGUCUAAUACCGGAUACGACCAAUCUCUGCAUGGGGUGUUGGUGGAAGGCGUUAUGGAGUGGUUUUAGAUGGGCUCACGGCCUAUCAGCUUGUUGGUGAGGUAAUGGCUUACCAAGGCGACGACGGGUAGCCGGCCUGAGAGGGUGACCGGCCACACUGGGACUGAGACACGGCCCAGACUCCUACGGGAGGCAGCAGUGGGGAAUAUUGCACAAUGGGCGCAAGCCUGAUGCAGCGACGCCGCGUGAGGGAUGACGGCCUUCGGGUUGUAAACCUCUGUUAGCAUCGAAGAAGCGAAAGUGACGGUAGGUGCAGAGAAAGCGCCGGCUAACUACGUG
rnacentral:rRNA from 1 species